UACGUAGGGUGCGAGCGUUGUCCGGAAUUAUUGGGCGUAAAGGGCUCGUAGGCGGUCUGUCACGUCAGGAGUGAAAACUCGGGGCUCAACCCCGAGCCUGCUUCUGAUACGGGCAGACUAGAGGUAUGCAGGGGAGACUGGAAUUCCUGGUGUAGCGGUGAAAUGCGCAGAUAUCAGGAGGAACACCGGUGGCGAAGGCGGGUCUCUGGGCCGUAACUGACGCUGAGGAGCGAAAGCAUGGGGAGCGAACAGG
rnacentral:rRNA from 1 species